UACGAGGGGAGCUAGCGUUGUUCGGAAUUACUGGGCGUAAAGCGCGCGUAGGCGGCUAUUCAAGUCAGAGGUGAAAGCCCGGGGCUCAACCCCGGAACUGCCUUUGAAACUAGAUAGCUAGAAUCAUGGAGAGGUCAGUGGAAUUCCGAGUGUAGAGGUGAAAUUCGUAGAUAUUCGGAAGAACACCAGUGGCGAAGGCGACUGACUGGACAUGUAUUGACGCUGAGGUGCGAAAGCGUGGGGAGCAAACAGG
rnacentral:rRNA from 1 species